ACUGGGCGUAAAGGGCACGCAGGCGGUGACUUAAGUGAGGUGUGAAAGCCCCGGGCUUAACCUGGGAAUUGCAUUUCAUACUGGGUCGCUAGAGUACUUUAGGGAGGGGUAGAAUUCCACGUGUAGCGGUGAAAUGCGUAGAGAUGUGGAGGAAUACCGAAGGCGAAGGCAGCCCCUUGGGAAUGUACUGACGCUCAUGUGCGAAAGCGUGGGGAGCAAACAGGAUUAGAUACCCUGGUAGUCCACGCUGUAAACGAUGUCGAUUUGGGGAUUGGGCUUUGAGCUUGGUGCCCGUAGCUAACGUGAUAAAUCGACCGCCUGGGGAGUACGGCCGCAAGGUUAAAACUCAAAUGAAUUGACGGGGGCCCGCACAAGCGGUGGAGCAUGUGGUUUAAUUCGAUGCAACGCGAAGAACCUUACCUACUCUUGACAUCCAUGGAAUCUUGUAGAGAUAUGAGAGUGCCUUCGGGAACCAUGAGACAGGUGCUGCAUGGCUGUCGUCAGCUCGUGUCGUGAG
rnacentral:rRNA from 1 species